GGGGAUUUAGCUCAAUGGUUCCAGCACCUGCCUCAAAAGCAGUAAGGGCCUGAGUUCAGUCUCCA
rnacentral:tRNA from 1 species